GGCGUAGGCGGUCUAGCAAGUCGGGCGUGAAAGCCCUGGGCUCAACCCAGGACGUGCACUCGAAACUGCUAGACUUGAGUGUCGGAGGGGGUGACGGAAUUCCCGGUGUAGAGGUGAAAUUCGUAGAGAUCGGGAGGAACACCAGUGGCGAAGGCGGUCACCUGGACGAACACUGACGCUGAGGUCCGAAAGCGUGGGGAGCAAACA
rnacentral:rRNA from 1 species